GGGGCAUCAGGAAGAAGCUUGCUUUCUUUGCUGGCGACCGGCGCACGGGUGAGUAACACGUAUCCAACCUGCCCUUUACUCGGGGAUAGCCUUUCGAAAGAAAGAUUAAUACCCGAUGGCAUAAUGAUUCCGCAUGGUUUCAUUAUUAAAGGAUUCCGGUAAAGGAUGGGGAUGCGUUCCAUUAGGUUGUUGGUGAGGUAACGGCUCACCAAGCCUUCGAUGGAUAGGGGUUCUGAGAGGAAGGUCCCCCACAUUGGAACUGAGACACGGUCCAAACUCCUACGGGAGGCAGCAGUGAGGAAUAUUGGUCAAUGGGCGCUAGCCUGAACCAGCCAAGUAGCGUGAAGGAUGAAGGCUCUAUGGGUCGUAAACUUCUUUUAUAUAAGAAUAAAGUGCAGUAUGUAUACUGUUUUGUAUGUAUUAUAUGAAUAAGGAUCGGCUAACUCCGUGCCAGCAGCCGCGGUAAUACGGAGGAUCCGAGCGUUAUCCGGAUUUAUUGGGUUUAAAGGGAGCGUAGGUGGACUGGUAAGUCAGUUGUGAAAGUUUGCGGCUCAACCGUAAAAUUGCAGUUGAUACUGUCAGUCUUGAGUACAGUAGAGGUGGGCGGAAUUCGUGGUGUAGCGGUGAAAUGCUUAGAUAUCACGAAGAACUCCGAUUGCGAAGGCAGCUCACUGGACUGCA
rnacentral:rRNA from 1 species